AUGUUAGCUUCAGAAACAUACAUACUAAAAUUGGAAUGAUACAGAGAAGAUUAGCAUGGCCCUUGUGCAAAGAAGACACAGAAAUUCAUCAAGCAUUCUGUAUUUUG